rnacentral:rRNA from 1 species
GAUUAAGUUAUUAAGGGCGCACGGUGGAUGCCUUGGCACUAGAAGCCGAUGAAGGACGUUACUAACGACGAUAUGCUUUGGGUAGCUGUAAGUAAGCGUUGAUCCAGAGAUUUCCGAAUGGGGGAACCCAGCAUGAGUUAUGUCAUGUUAUCGACAUGUGAAUUCAUAGCAUGUCAGAAGGCAGACCCGGAGAACUGAAACAUCUUAGUACCCGGAGGAAGAGAAAGAAAAAUCGAUUCCCUGAGUAGCGGCGAGCGAAACGGGAAAAGCCCAAACCAACAAGCUUGCUUGUUGGGGUUGUAGGACACUCUAUACGGAGUUACAAAAGAACAUGUUAGACGAAUCAUCUGGAAAGAUGAAUCAAAGAAGGUAAUAAUCCUGUAGUCGAAAACAUAUUCUCUCUUGAGUGGAUCCUGAGUACGACGGAGCACGUGAAAUUCCGUCGGAAUCUGGGAGGACCAUCUCCUAAGGCUAAAUACUCUCUAGUGACCGAUAGUGAACCAGUACCGUGAGGGAAAGGUGAAAAGUACCCCGGAAGGGGAGUGAAAGAGAACUUGAAACCGUGUGCUUACAAGUAGUCAGAGCCCGUUAAUGGGUGAUGGCGUGCCUUUUGUAGAAUGAACCGGCGAGUUACGAUCUGAUGCAAGGUUAAGCAGCAAAUGUGGAGCCGCAGCGAAAGCGAGUCUGAAUAGGGCGUUGAGUAUUUGGUCGUAGACCCGAAACCAGGUGAUCUACCCUUGGUCAGGUUGAAGUUCAGGUAACACUGAAUGGAGGACCGAACCGACUUACGUUGAAAAGUGAGCGGAUGAACUGAGGGUAGCGGAGAAAUUCCAAUCGAACUUGGAGAUAGCUGGUUCUCUCCGAAAUAGCUUUAGGGCUAGCCUCAAGUGAUGAUUAUUGGAGGUAGAGCACUGUUUGGACGAGGGGCCCCUCUCGGGUUACCGAAUUCAGACAAACUCCGAAUGCCAAUUAAUUUAACUUGGGAGUCAGAACAUGGGUGAUAAGGUCCGUGUUCGAAAGGGAAACAGCCCAGACCACCAGCUAAGGUCCCAAAAUAUAUGUUAAGUGGAAAAGGAUGUGGCGUUGCCCAGACAACUAGGAUGUUGGCUUAGAAGCAGCCAUCAUUUAAAGAGUGCGUAAUAGCUCACUAGUCGAGUGACACUGCGCCGAAAAUGUACCGGGGCUAAACAUAUUACCGAAGCUGUGGAUUGUCCUUUGGACAAUGGUAGGAGAGCGUUCUAAGGGCGUCGAAGCAUGAUCGCAAGGACAUGUGGAGCGCUUAGAAGUGAGAAUGCCGGUGUGAGUAGCGAAAGACGGGUGAGAAUCCCGUCCACCGAUUGACUAAGGUUUCCAGAGGAAGGCUCGUCCGCUCUGGGUUAGUCGGGUCCUAAGCUGAGGCCGACAGGCGUAGGCGAUGGAUAACAGGUUGAUAUUCCUGUACCACCUAGUAUCGUUUUAAUCGAUGGGGGGACGCAGUAGGAUAGGCGAAGCGUGCUGUUGGAGUGCACGUCCAAGCAGUAAGGCUGAGUGUUAGGCAAAUCCGGCACUCAUAAGGCUGAGCUGUGAUGGGGAGAGGAAAUUGUUUCCUCGAGUCG